rnacentral:misc_RNA from 1 species
UAAUUUUCCAGCUUCAUAACCUACAGAAAAUAGGUCAUAACAAAGGGAAGGGGGAAGGAAAUAGAGAAAAGGGCUGGAACUAAAAGGAGGCUGGCAAAGUGUUCUAUGAACUCUCAACAAAAGUAAGAUUAUGGGUUAAGUUUGAUGAUAAGUCUCAAAAAUUAUUACAUUAGAGAAAAUGUAUCGUCUACCCCUCCGCUAAACAAAUUACUUUGAGUCAAUUCAUCCAUCUUCACUCUCCAGACUCAUGUAUCGCUUCCAUAUUGUCUUCCUUGUAAACACCGAGAGGAGAGCCGUGGACAGAUAGAAGCAUUUCCCCAGGUUUAGGCAGUCUUAAAGUUUUGGGAGUCAUCCCAACAGAUAAUCUGUUAUUAUAUGCACCAGGAGUCUGAAGAGUAUCAGGCAAAUCAAGCAUUUGGGAGUCAGAUGGCUCUUCCAAGACAAAUCCCUUGAUCUGGAGGUUUUCGACACCAUAGCAUGAUGUUUUAACAGAUUUAUUUGAGAGUUCAAAUCCACCAAGUGACGGCAUGGCACUGGAGCAAUCAGGGUACACCAUGGACAGGUUAUUAAGAAGAGAAGCAUGUAGAUUCCUUCCAUCAAAUUGGUCCAUGCUUAAAUUAACAGCAUUGUCUUUCCUUUGCACUUCAUACUGGCCAUUUUUCUCAUUUCUUACAAUAGCCAGGUUUGGAAAUUUUUCCUCAAAAAAUUGCGUUACUGGAACUUGCAGCUGUUCAUUACUAAAAUUUGAUCGCAGCAAUUGUAACAUAUCUUUUAAGUGUUCAAUCUCCACAUCACGAAUAGCCCUUAUAGCAGUACUUUGACGUUCAGCUUCUUGCUUGAAUAUAUCAUCUUCCAUUUUCACUUGAUGUUGUUCUUCAUUAGCAUCCUUUACAACUUCAGUUGUUUUGCGAUGUCUUCCUCUUCUUCUUGGCAUGGAGAUAUAUAACUUAACUGGUUGUGGGCAGCAAACCGGAUGACGAGUUCAAUGGAGACGAUUCCACCACCUCUCUAAACUCGAACAGCCACAAAAUUUUG